rnacentral:misc_RNA from 1 species
AACGCACAUUGCGCCCAUUGGUAUUCCUUUGGGCAUGUCUGUUUGAGCGUCAUUACAACACCUCAGCGCACGCUGGUUUUGAGCCGUGAGGGGCUUUCUGAGCCCCUUCCGCUUUAAAGUUGUAAGCUCUGCUGGCUCCCAGCCUGACCGAAAAACAUAGUAAACUUCUUGCCUUGUUUAUGGAAUGGUUGCGGGGUUCGGCCUGAACAACACCUUCAAUUUCUAAGGUUUGACCUCAGAUCAGACAAGGAUACCCGCUGAACUUAA